rnacentral:rRNA from 1 species
GGAGGGGUGCAAGCGUUAUUCGGAAUCACUGGGCGUAAAGAGCGCGUAGGCGGUUUCUAAAGUCAGAUGUGAAAGCCCGGGGCUCAACCCCGGAAGUGCAUUUGAAACUUGGGGACUUGAGUAUGGGAGAGGGAAGUGGAAUUCCUGGUGUAGCGGUGAAAUGCGUAGAUAUCAGGAGGAACACCGGUGGCGAAGGCGACUUCCUGGACCAAUACUGACGCUGAGGCGCGAAGGCGUGGGGAGCAAACAGGAUUAGAUACCCUGGUAGUCCACGCAGUAAACGUUGAACACUAGGUGUAGCGGGUAUUGACCCCUGCUGUGCCGCAGCUAACGCAUUAAGUGUUCCGCCUGGGGAGUACGGCCGCAAAGGCUA